rnacentral:rRNA from 1 species
GACGAACGCUGGCGGCGUGCCUAAUACAUGCAAGUAGAACGCUGAAGGAGGAGCUUGCUUCUCUGGAUGAGUUGCGAACGGGUGAGUAACGCGUAGGUAACCUGCCUGGUAGUGGGGGAUAACUAUUGGAAACGAUAGCUAAUACCGCAUAAUAGCAGUUGUUGCAUGAUAACUGUUUGAAAGGUGCAAUUGCACCGCUACCAGAUGGACCUGCGUUGUAUUAGCUAGUUGGUGGGGUAACGGCUCACCAAGGCGACGAUACAUAGCCGACCUGAGAGGGGGAUCGGCCACACUGGGACUGAGACACGGCCCAGACUCCUACGGGAGGCAGCAGUAGGGAAUCUUCGGCAAUGGACGGAAGUCUGACCGAGCAACGCCGCGUGAGUGAAGAAGGUUUUCGGAUCGUAAAGCUCUGUUGUAAGAGAAGAACGAGUGUGAGAGUGGAAAGUUCACACUGUGACGGUAGCUUACCAGAAAGGGACGGCUAACUACGUG